GACGAACGCUGGCGGCGUGCUUAACACAUGCAAGUCGAACGGACAGCCCUGCCUUUUUGUGGUGUUCCAGUGGCGAACGGGGGAGUAAUACCUGAGUAACCCGCCCCUUACUUUGGGGUAACCUCAGUAAACUAGGGGUUAUAACGGAGAAGAAUCUCUGCCGCCUGGUGGGGGUUUGAAAGAUUCGGGGGUUGGUGAUGGUCACGAGGCGUAUCCGCCUGUUUGUGGGGUAGGGGAUUACCAAGGCUUUGACGGGUAGCCGGACUGAGAGGGUGACCGGCCACAUGGGGACUGAGAUACGGCGCAGAAUCCUACGGGAGGCAGCAGUGGGGAAUAUUGCACAAUGGGCGGGAGCCUGAUGCAGCAACGCCGCGUGCGGGAUGACGGCCUUCGAGUGGUAAACCGAUUUCGCCUGUGACGAAGCGUGAGUGACGGUAAUGGGUAAAGAAGCAACGGCUAACUACGUG
rnacentral:rRNA from 1 species